GAAAUGCGAUACGUAGUGUGAAUUGCAGAAUUCAGUGAAUCAUCGAAUCUUUGAACGCACAUUGCACCUCUCGGUAUUCCGGGAGGUAUGCCUGUUCGAGCGUCAUUUGUACCCUCAAGCUCUGCUUGGUGUUGGGUGUUUGUUCCGCCUCUGUGUGUGAACUCGCCUCAAAACAAUUGGCAGCCGGCGUACUUGUUUCGGAGCGCAGCACAUUUUGCGAUCCAGAUCAACGUACAGCGGCAUCCAAGAAGCCUUAUUUAACGCUCUUGACCUCGGAUCAGGUAGGGAUACCCGCUGAACUUAA
rnacentral:misc_RNA from 2 species